rnacentral:lncRNA from 1 species
ACACCUUGAUCUCGGACUUCCAGCUUCCAGGAUUGUGAGCAAAUAAAUUUCUGUUGUUUAAGCUGUCCAGCCUGUGGUACUUUGUUACGGCAGCCUGAGCUGAUACAAACGUGAAGCAUAAAGUAAGCAUGCUCUUGUAACUCUCUACAUAUACUCCACGCAUACCUGCCAUAUACUACUCUAGGGUGGUUUUCAGUGGCCUGUGGACCUGCACCAUGAGACUCACACAUGCAUGUUUACAAAUGUGAUCCUGAACAUCUGAGCGACUUUCAGGGACACUUGUCUUGGGGUUCAAGGGCUGAGGUGCCCUCAUUUGCAGUCUGCUGUACACGUGGUCCUCAAGUGACCCACCUCAAGUGGUGUGUUUGCUGAUGAUGUGGCCUCAGAGAGGACAUCAUCCAUGAUCUCACCAGAAACCUACAGCAAGUGCCCUUUAGAAAGCUUUGUCGCCAGUUCCUUCGCCUUCUCCAUGGUCAUCAGAAGAGCUACCCCAAGUGGGACAGCUGGAUCAACCCACUUAUGCACAAAGUCUUCACCUGGGUUCUGUCCCAGGAGAUCAGAAGACUGUGACCAUCAAAGCAAUGGCGUCCAGGGAGCAAAGGCCGGAUCUGGUCUUGGGGGAGGGGCAAAAGCUUCUCACUCCCUGAUUGGUCAAGAAACAGCCACCUGAGAGGUGAGCAGGUCUAAGGACCCAAGCAUGUUCAAACGACCAGUGUAAGAAUGUCAACCCUAAAUCAUUAGGCUCCUCAUUUACAUUACAUUCUAUUUACUAAUUUGUCAGUCUGUGCUGUUAUCAUGCAAGAAUUUAUUCAAUCCAAACAGCAUAUCUGCAGGAGGUUAGCAUUCACCAGGUCAAGUUGAGUAUUUUGCUCCAUUGCUCAAGUCUGCAGAAAAACCAGAAGUCACAAAUUUACAUGCUCAUAGAGUUUUUCAUGCCCCUUAUUUGAAAAUGGUAAAUUGACUAUAGUCAGAAAAUCAGUAAGUGAAAGAGAAAAAAAAGCUCAAUUUAUAAUGUUGCUAAAACUUGUAACAUUCAGAAAUUUGGAAUUGCUUCAUUGGAUGUUUUUCAACGAAUUUUCUCUAUAAACUAAAAUAAGUUACUUAGCCUCCUUUCUAUUAAAGGAAGUUCUCCAGAUGUUAGUUUAGAAGCUGAUGGGAGUGUUGAAGAAUUAUUAAUGAGCAGUUCAAGGAUAACAGCUUUCCAUCAGGAUUCCAAUGGCUCCUGUGCUGUGGGUAGUGACUUUCUCGCUGUGCCAGUCUCCUGAACCCAGUGGGGUGUCAGAGAGAAACGGGGUGCCCCACUUCCCAUUCACGAGCCGAUGAUUCAGCCUCCGACCUUAAAAUGACUUACAGGUGACUGAGACCGUCUUAAUUUUGAAUGCGUUAUGCUGUCCUUGAGGAGGAAGCACGGUGGCAACAGGAGGCGACCCAGACUCAGUGAGAAUCCCGGCGCCUGCCAUCUCUGCUGGUUCACAUUCACGCUAGGACUCUGUGUCCUCGUCUGAAAAAUCAGGAUGGACUUGGUUAUCUAUUGCUGAAUCACAAAAUCAACCCAGCACUUAGGGGCUGUAACAGUAACAGUAUUAUUAACAGUCUCUCUCCUCAUUGUAGCGGUGCAGUGGGCCAGGCUGGGCAAGUCUCACUCAGGUCUCCGGGGUCUGGUGUCUGGAGCCGGAGAGGACGAGCUCCCAAGAGCUGAUUGUUAAAUUGUCAGGAAUUUUGCCAGCCAGUUGGUAAACACAGGCAUCAUUAAAAAUUAAAUUAUAUAAACUUACAAUUAAAUAAAUCAUAUUAAAAACAGAGGCAAUAAAUUCCCAAAACCUAUCAGUUCCAAAUUAUUUUACUCUAUAUUACUAUUAUUUAUGCCCCCAAGGUUAUUUCCAUCUCUUGCAUCCGUAUGUGGAAAUACCAUAUACUGGUGUGCUCUUGGGCAUUUCUUCCCAACUUUGUGUACAACGACACCAUGCUGGUAGCUUGACUCUGGCCGUGAUGGAAGUAUUUACUCCACAGAAGUUGGCCAGUGCUGCAAAUCAGGGUUUUAAAUUUUUUUCCAGAAAGCAAGCUGUUGAACACUUACCAGCACCGCUGGCUAUCCUUUAUUAGAAGAUAGUGGUCACACUGAGCAAGAGCAGGUGGGAUGGGACACAUACAUUGAAGUGACCGUCUUUGAGAAACACGACCUAUCCCCAGGAAAAUGGAAGGAUUGUAGCGGAGAUUAGACAUAAUUUAUGCAAAGUUGUUUCACUUAGUACCAGAGACGUUGAUUCCUAAUAAAUUGCAGCUAUUGUGAUUACACACCUGACUGUGCUCAGCAUGGCAGAGAACCUCUAGGAAGGGCUUUUCCAUGUGCUGACAUCCCACCACUAGGCAGUGAGCUACUUGAGGGAAAGGGCUGGCAUCUUCAUUCACCCGUAUCCCUGAAGCCCAGCACACAAGGUGCGGACUCAUUAAAUCUCUGUUGAAUGGAUGAGAAAUCUCGUGGCCAUCUAGAAGCUCAUCCCAAGCAGCUGAUGGAGGCCUCAGGCGCUUACAAAGCUGGAGCUGUUGAGCACACAAGCUAUUCCAGCUGCAGAAGUCUCUAGCAUUAUCUUGUGGGUAUUCCGUCCAUUUUGCAUGCAGGCAUCACUGGCUGGGUCUGCAGCCUGAAGAACGCCACGCCACUUCUGCCUACUCCUUGCCUGCCACAGCAUUCUCAGCACCACCUCUGGCUUCCCUUCCCUAACCCAGGCUGAUUUGGGAGCCCAGCCCCGAGCUCCCUCUGACCUGUGCUGAAGAGCAGAUUUACUAAUUGGCUUCUCAACUAGACUCAGCUGCAAGUGAGAGGAGAUCAGACACAACUGCUCUCCAUGUGGAGAUUUCUACAGAAACCCUCGAGAUGAGGUGGCCCCAGGGCCUGGGUCAUCUAUCACUUUGUCCCCCCAUUCUGGGCUGGCCCUUCCUGGUCGGGGACAUGCCUGCCACAGCUCCAGCCUGCACCCCCUCACAACAAUGGCCAAAGGCCGCAGAAGGGAAGGUGACAUGCCCCAUGUUUGGUCACACAUUAAGUCCCCAGAGCAGACUUAACUCGUAUUUUACUGGUCAGCAUUCUGCAGACACCCUUCUGAAUCAACCACUGCCAUGUAGACCCAUGAUCAACUUCACCCAGAGUCCUUGUCGGGUGGAGGAAGCUCCACUUGCCCUGAGGCACAGGGCCACAGUUUCCUGAACAAAAUCGGGCAUCUCUUGGCAAGGAAGACGGAGGGGAGGGCUGCUGGCGCCUCGGGACAGUGGCGCCGUUAGGUCUGUAGGGGCUGGAUGGGCACUUCC